AUGAGAGUUUCCUAGCAGACAGGCAUGGAGAGGGCACAGGGAAAAGGAGAUAGAGAGACUGACAGGGUCCGUGGGAUAAAAGAGUUUUGAAAGAGAUUUCCAGCUCUUUAAUCUGCCCAGACAGAUGUAUUACUGCACUGUGGGGAGAAUCACUUUCCUGUGGACAAGACGAGGAUGAGAGAGAGGAAAACCCAGUUCCUGACUCCAUGUCCCUCCUGCUGGGGUGUGGCUGCCGUGGGGGAAAGAGCCUGGGGGAAGCGUGAUGUGAAAUGAACUAAUGCCCGUUCCCAAACCUCCACAAUGGCCCUUCUCGCCCGGCCAGGCUGCAGAACGACGCUCACGUUUCGUUCCGGUUCAUCCCGUCCUCCCAUGGGACAGGGGAGCGACAUGGCUGCAGAGGAGCCAGCUCAGGGGCCGGUGACCUUCGAGGAGGUGGCUGUGUAUUUCACCAGG